ACGGGGGGGGUAAGCGUUGUUCGGAAUUACUGGGCGUAAAGGGCUCGUAGGCGGCCAACUAAGUCGGACGUGAAAUCCCUCAGCUUAACUGGGGAACUGCGUCCGAUACUGGAUGGCUUGAAUUCGGGAGAGGGAUGCAGAAUUCCAGGUGUAGCGGUGAAAUGCGUAGAUAUCUGGAGGAAUACCGGUGGCGAAGGCGGCAUCCUGGACCGACAUUGACGCUGAACGGCGAAAGCUCGGGGAGCAAACGGGA
rnacentral:rRNA from 1 species